rnacentral:rRNA from 1 species
CGAGAUUCCCCUAGUAACGGCGAGUGAAUGGGGAAAAGCCCAGCGCUGAAUCCUUGAGUUGAAAAACUCAAAGGAAUUGUAGCGUAUAGGUGCGACUAUCUCUUUGUUUCGUGCAUCCAAAGUCCCCUUGAGUGGGGCCACAGUCCAAAGAAGGUGCUAGACCUGUACGGAUGGUGAAACAUUGAGUAGGUCGACCCUUGGAGUCGGGUUGUCUGAGAUCGCAGCCCAAAGAGGGUGGUAAACCUCAUCUAAGGCUAAAUAUGACCACGAGACCGAUAGCAAACAAGUACCGUGAGGGAAAGUUGCAAAGAACUUUGAAGAGAGAGUUCAAGAGGGCGUGAAACCGCUAAGAUGGAAGCGAAUAGAGUUGACGAAACUUGUCGGUAUUCAACCGAUCAAUUCAGCGAUUUUACGGCUAUAUACCUCAUUUUUGGGGACAUAGACGUGAAUAAUUGUUGACUUUUAAUGGCUAGUGAUUGGUGAAUUUGCCGACGGUAUGCGCUGAGAGCCUUGUCAAAUAUUUAGUAUGUUGACAUACAUUUGUAGAGGACCAUCCAAUUUUUGGUGUGGAACCCUCGAUGUAUAUGAUACAUAUCUAUGAUAAGGUUAUAUAUAUAUAUGUAUACAGCAACUUCAGCUAGUAAAUGCGCAUCACUUUUGAUAAAAUUGAUCAGGCUGUUAUACGGUCGCAUGCGACUUGUUUUCAGUCUUUUUAUGAUCAAUUUUUUUUGAAGUGUACCUAUGCGAUUUGAAGUUGUGUCUCAGUGUGAACGUCAAUCACCUAUUCGACCCGUCUUGAAACACGGACCAAGGAGUCUAGCAUAUACGCAAGUUAUUAGGUGUUAAAACCAUAAAAGCGUAAUGAAAGUGAAGAUCAUCAUUGGUAUGAUUGAUAUGUGAUCCAUAUAUUUCUCAUCAUUUUUACGAAUGAUGAGAGAUUUUUGAUAUGGUGCAACAUAGUCCCGUUCUUGUUGCUUGCAAUAGGGCGGAGAUAGAGCGUAUACGCUGGGACCCGAAAGAUGGUGAACUAUGCCUGAGCAGGAUGAAGCCAGAGGAAACUCUGGUGGAAGUCCGAAGCGAUUCUGACGUGCAAAUCGAUCGUCUGACUUUGGUAUAGGGGCGAAAGACUAAUCGAACUAUCUA